rnacentral:rRNA from 1 species
CACGGGGGGAGCAAGUGUUGUUCGGAAUCACUGGGCGUAAAGGGCGUGUAGGCGGUCGAGUAAGUGGAAUGUGAAAUGCCCCGGCUCACCCGGGGACCUGCAUCCCAAACUGCUCGGCUUGAGUAUGGGAGAGGAUGAGGGAAUUCCUGGUGUAGCGGUGAAAUGCGCAGAUAUCAGGAAGAACACCCGUGGCGAAGGCGGCUCACUGGCUCAUUUCUGACGCUCAGGCGCGACAGCGUGGGGAUCAAACAGG